UUCAACAUAUAGUAAUAAAGGGAAAGUUCUCUUUCUACAACAAAAGAUAUAUUAGAUAAAUGACCAAAUUCAAGAUGAGGAAUUGGGAUUCAGUUCCUGUGUCUGUUUCAAAAUCAGUAGCACCUCAAGAUCCUGGGAUUGAGAUUUAAACCCCGACUUUAGCAACGUACCAGCUUUGUGAUAUUGGAUGGAAAGACCAGAGCUCAGAGAAAUUAAAUAUACAUUCAAAGAACAUAAUGAGUAGGACCAGCGUAUGGAUAGAUGGAAUGGACAACAAAGCCUGUUUUGUUUCUUCCUUCUACUGUUUUACAAGGAGGAAGAUCCUUUAACACUUCCUAGAUUUACCACCUGGGGAAAGUUAUCUAAUGCACCUGCCUGUAGGCUCCCUCGUCUAUAAAAUG